rnacentral:rRNA from 1 species
AAACUGAAGAGUUUGAUCCUGGCUCAGAUUGAACGCUGGCGGCAUGCUUUACACAUGCAAGUCGAGCGGCAGCGCGGGGGCAACCCUGGCGGCGAGCGGCGAACGGGUGAGUAAUACAUCGGAACGUGUCCCGUAGUGGGGGAUAGC